CCAUCCAUCCAUCCAUCCAUUCUUCCAUGGAUCUAUGCAUCUGUCCACCCAUCCCCUCAUUCUUUCAAUAUUUAUUGUGUAGCUAUUAUAUGUCAGACAUUCUUCUUUACUCUGCAUAUAUGAAAGAGAACAAGGCAUGAAAUUCCUGUUCUCAUGGAGCUUCUGUUCUACAAGAGGAAGGGAGAUCAUAAAAAUAGUUAACACACAAUACGAUAACUUCAGAGAGUGGUAUGUGCUCUGAAAGCCGUCCCAUUGGGCAACAGUACAGGGAGUGACCAGUGACAGGUGGGCAGAGUUGAGGAGGGCUUCUUUAGCGAAGGUGAUCAGGGAAAGCCUUGCAAAGGAGAUGAUAGUGAGACUGAAGUGAAAAGGAGACAGUCACAUGAAGGCCUGGGCAAGGGAGAACAUUCCAGGCAGAGGGAGCCACAGUGAGCUGAUGUCACUGAGGAGCCUCCAGCUAAGCAGCAGCUUGGAGACAGAGGGCCAAGCAGAGGCGAAUCAGACAAAAGCACACUCAAAUCUUGGCUCAGCCCUUUAGUAUCUGUGGGACAUGGAGAGAGGUGCUAACCUUCCAAGCUUUUACUUCUCUAUAUGUGAAAUGGAGACACUAAAACCUCACUCAUAGGGUGGGUGAAAAGAUGAAGUCGUAUACAGAGCAUGGUCCUUGGCAUGAGGUAGCUUAUCAAGCCCAGAUACUUCCAAAUCCUUCUGCCAAGUGAAAGUCAUCGUGCUUCUCACAUCAGCAUCCUAAGACAGGCAGGAAGAUUGAUCACCUUGCUUCUGGUAACCAGUUUCAGACUGACAUGUCUGCAUGAUUCCACCUUCAUUCCAUAUUUUAAAAAUGCACCAUGUACUCCCUUUAUUAAGCAUGUCACCCAGCUCUAGUUACUGUGAAACUAGAAGGUCACAGCUCAGCUCUGUGCUCAGAAAUAUGGCACCUGUCAGGUGCAUGAUUUAGGAACUUGGCCUUCCUCAGUGGGACCUCAGUGUAGUAAAAUCAAGUCAACGAUUCAAUCCAUGGCUGCUGAUAAAGACUGGGAGAAAUAUGAAGCUGCUGUCUUAGCAAUACACUUUUCAUUAGUGAACUUUUUUAGUAAGAUGACAUUGAAAUCCACCCCCCCAGCCUGGUUUCCAAAUAGCUCAGCACUGUAACCUGAAUAAGACGUGGUGACUCUGCUGGACAAAGACCAAAAGCCUUGCGAGGGUGUGGGACAGACAACAGGAUACAUCAGUGCAGUUGGCUCAGUUUUGCAAGGUUAGACUUCUCUCAUUUGAUUUCACUUACCUCUGGCUAUUUUCCUUUUCUUUGCCAGAGGAACACUGGCAAAUGUUUAACAUCUGAUUCUCUGGAGGUGGGGAAAGCUUGAAUUAAUAGUGUUUGUCUAAUUCCAUGAUAGAAGUAUUUCCAAUGUGGCCAGUUUCGAGUUACUCCCACGAUGUCACUGAAUGCACAGCUACAAAGAGAUGGUAACAACUGGCCCCUGCAAACUGCUAUGAAUUGGCUCUAGGGCAACACUGCUACACCAUCUCCCUACGAAUAACAGGGAUCCCCUUUGUGGGGUUGGACACUGUACAUAUGUAGCUGGCACUACAUGCAUGAUAUUUCAUAUAAUCUUAACUAUCAUUGUUUGAGGCUGGGAUUACUAUUGCCAUUUCAGGGAUGAGAAUAGCAAGGCUCAGAGAGAUUGUGUAGCCAGCAUCGGUUCACAUAAUUAGCAGGCAGCGAAGUUGGGAUUUGAAUACUGUGGGCACCUUUCAUGUGGCACACUCCUCCCCACUCUGAGUCCUCCUCUUUCUUCCCUGGGAAUGAGUAGCUUGCUUCCUAACAAGCUCCAGGGCUCCAGUGUCCCCUGGAUCCUCCCACAGUGCUCUUUUGCACAUGGACCCCUCCACUCCCAGUUCAGAAUGAAGUCCAGUUUACUUAGCUUGGCUCCAGGGUGCAGCCUGUACUUCCUCAUCCAAUCUCUCUACUCUAGCAAAAUGGGUUUCCCCACGGUCCCUAGAUGUGUGUGAGAUGGUUGACCUUCUUGCAUUAUCAGCUUCUCCUUAUUCCACUUAGAUGCAACGAUCUCAUUCAAACUCUGUCUUGUCCUGCUAGUCCUGCUAGCCCUGCUAAACCACUUGAGCCCCUGGAGUCUCUUCCUCCCUGGAGCUUCUACAGCAUUCCUAUCUGGACCAUUCGCCAGGUGGUUAACACUGGAAACAAAAACUAUGUUGUUUGCUGGUUUGGAUUUCUUACAGCUCCCAGGAGACCACAAGCUACUUGGAGGUAGGACCAAGUGGUGUACAUAACGACCAGACAGCCACAAAGAGUCCCUUGCUCAGACAGGUGUUCAGCAACUCUUCCCAGAGCAAAACAUGCCUGUCUUGCCCACUGCGGAGUAACUGCAAGGCAGCGCACUGCUCCUCUGGGGUCUCAGACCCAAUGGCAGCCUUACAAGAAUAAACUCAAGCUGUUUUAAAAAAUAUUUUUAAACAGCAAACCUCUCCUCUCUAAAUGACAUUUAAUUGCUUCAAAGAUCAAGAGAAGGCAACUUCUUUGUGGCUGGGCGUGCAAACAACCUGCGUUCUUCAGGGCUCUGGGUAUGGGUUACAAGAUUCAUCGUGACUCAAUUCUCCAAUCCACUGAGUUUUGGAGGACACAGGCAGUGUGUCACUGCAGAUGGACUGCCAACCCCCAAUUAAACUGUUCUGGAUGGCUACUGGUGGUGACCUUCAGGUGACAUUGGUCAAGCCUCAAAGGAGUGUGGCCACCCAACCCUAGCAGAGUUUGAGUGUGCCAGGUGCUCAUUACUGAACCCACUUCUCAGUCUACAUCAAACAACCAUGCUGGCCAGAAAUGGUGUGCUGAGUUCUGACGAUACAGAAACACCACACUACUGAUGAUACAGGUGCAUACAUGAAACCUCCUGGUGGCAGGAAGACUCGUUCCUGAGGGCCUGAUGGCUCCCACACCGAGGAAUGCUCUGCCAGAGGCCAGUCCAUUUCAGGCACAGUUAUAACCCACUCCAUAAAGGUUGUGCCAGGGAGAAAAUUAUGACAGGACCUUGCUUGAAAGAAGAGGCAGUCACAAGGCCCCAUGGGGCUUACCUUCCAGGAUGGACUGGCCCUGGGUUUGGGAUUGCAUCAAUUUCAUUUCUGGCUCUCAUGAGUCGGAUUCCCUCUUUUCUCAGAGUAUGGAAGCCAGUGGAGCGUGGCAAAGGUGUCUGGCACCCUGUCUUUGCUGCUUCCUGUGAAAACGAGAUGGUCUGCCUGAAAUGAUACAUUGGCUGUUUCAUUUCUGGGCUCCCCUUGUGUCUUUUUUUUUUAAAGACAGAGACGGGGUCUCACUAUGUUGCCCAGGCUGUCCUCGAACUCCUACGCUCAAGGAAUCUUCCUGCCUCAGCCUCCCAAAGAGCAGGAUUAUGAACGUGAGCCAUUACGCCCAACUUCCCCUAAUCUCUUGUGCUUGGCAUAAUGCUGGUAUGCAGUAGGUGCUCAAUAAAUGCUGACUUGGGUGUAAUAUUGAUGAACUCCAAAAAGCUUACUGGAGAGUGUGUGCAUGUGUGAGUGCACAUGUGUGAAUGUGUGUGCAUGUGUGUGCAUGAGUGCAUGUAUGAGUACUUGCAUGUGGGUGCAGAUGUGGGAGUGGUGUGUGAAUGUGUGGACAUGUAUGUGCAUGAUGUACACAUGUGUACAUGCACAAGUGUGUGAACGUGUGUGUGUGUGUGUACGUAUGUACUGGAUCAAGGUCAGGCAGAGCUGGCACUCAGAUGACCACCAGCACCCCGGUCCCAAAUUCGGCAGCAGCAACCAUUUGGUGCCUACCCUGUUCCCUUCUCAUUUAGUGCCAUCUUCACCAACCCGCCAGGAAGACAAGCUUGAUUCCAUCUUGAAUAUGAGGAAAAUGGAGGCUCGCUGAUGUGCAGUAGCCCUUGCAAGGCCUCACAGUGUGUGCAGGGAGAUGUAGAUUCCUACAGUGGAGUCUGACCCCACUGUCCCCUAUGCUGCAGUGCCUUCUGGGCAGAUGCCAGGCAUCAGACCAGGGAAAUUCUGCCCCACAGUGAGUGGGGCCAACUGACGCUGAUGUGAGUGUAUUCCAUAGUGGCUGUGUGUGAUGGAGAGGGAGUGGGAUUGGUACUCAGGGGCUUAAGGAAUGGCAUCUGGUAUAAUGGUAUCUGAGGACAUGGCACAGAACAUGGUAUGCCACAGCCUCCUCACCUUAUAAUGGAAGUAACCGUGCAUACCUCCUAGCGUCACCGUGGGGGUUUAAAUUCUUACAUGUGAGGUGUGUAUAACUGCACGUGGUAUGCAGGAAGCGCUCGGUAGCUACGCUCCUAGUACAUCCUCAUAAGCGAACACUUACUAAUCUAGUUGUUGUGCUGGAAAAUGUGGCGCUGGAAAAGACCUGGAGCUUGACCAUGACACAGACAUUCAGGCUACGGAUCCUGUGUCCACCGUUUACUGAGAGGGCCGUGGGUGAGUGACGUGGAGUGUGGCGUAACCUCCCCAUGUCGCCCUCUCCUAGUGCAGAAAUUGGAGACAGUGGGGGAUCCCUCACAGGGUUGCUGGGAUGACUGAAUGAGGUAAUAGACUUCACAGAUCCCACAUAGGGUCUGGUACGCAGUGGUCCCUCAACAGUGGACAGACAUUAUUAGGAUCUGGUCAUAUUCUGAGAACAAAGCUUGACAAGUUCUGGAAUCAAAUGUCAUUGUCAAAUGUGCCUGCUCAAUGCAAUUCUACUUGGCUACUGGACUCUCUGCAAUAAUUUGUCUGAAAGAGAGGCAGAAGCCCCCAAGAGAUGAAUGGGCUGGUUUUAAGGAGAGAAUGAUUUUAAGAGGCAUUGAGGGUGCCCUGGAAGCCAUCCCCCUACAGUGCAUAUCAGGCCAAAUGCACCUGUCAGCACCUGCAUUCCUUUGCCAGAGAACUUGCACCAGCAGCCAAAGGCCUUUGCUCAUCUAUGCAGCAGGCUGAAUGCGAUGAGAAUCAGCACCUCUCUCAGGAGCAACCCUCACCCAAUGACUGGGGUACUUAUACCUCAGCUCCCUUGCUCCCCAUGAGACAAGAAGAAUACAGGGUGGUCAUAGAAGAAUAGAAAAUUCCAGGCAGUAGUUUCACAUGAUUAGCAAAAGGAAAAUGUUGAAAUAGCUGCAGAAGCUAGGGGCUGAUAAGACCCUGAAAAAACAAGAGUGUGGGCCAAGCUGGCUAAGACCAACUGGACCCAUCGUGGUGGUGGAUUUCACUUAGGUUUUCCCUAGGACCUCAAUAUAUGCUCGUUAACAUACUAUAUCACACACCCACCGGCACCUCGAUGGUUCCAGGAACACCCAUAUUUGGUGCAAAAAUGGGUGACACCUCAGUUAUGAGAAAUCUCCACCUUUUUCCAGGAAUCUUCAUGAACAUUCCACUGCUUGGUUAAAGAAAUCCAUAGAGGUAGCAACCCCAAUCCCCCUUGAGAGCGAUUCCUUCACUCUUGAAAACGCUCACACUCACCUUUCUUGAGUGUAUACUUUUUGCUUUGCAAUAAACCAUACUUUCACUAUUUUCUGACUCAUUCUUGAAUUUCUUCUCACAGUCAAGAGCCUGGACAAUGACUGGGGUCAAGGACUCACUGGCGUUUGGGGACCUCCCCCAGCCUACGAUAUUACUUGGAUGGAAUAAGCCCAGGAGUGUGUUCCUCUGGGAUUCAGCUCCUGUACGCAUAGUGGUGGCUGGAUGGACAAUGCAGAGUGUGUGGGCUGUGUUCCUCUCCUGUCCCACUUCCUGCUCUCCCGCUGGUAUUUUAUGGGAUUUUCUGCCAACUAAACUAUUUUCACCCUAACCCUUGUCUCAGCAUCUGCUUCGGGGGCAAUCCAAAGUAAGACUGUCCAAAGUAAGACAGUCACAGUCAUGUUAAUAGAAUUCCCACCAGACAGCGGUUGAUUGUUCCAGAGGCCAAUGCCCAGAGCAGCAGGAAGUGACUUCAUCAAGCCAGAGUGGUGAAUUAGUUCCAGUUGUUUUUCCUGAGCCUCUCAACAACAGGAGAGGCAAGCAGAGCACAGUAGGAACUGAAUGGGGUUUGCGUGAAAGAAAAAUCCAGGGAAAGGUGUCCUGCAGAACGUGCACGGACCUGACCCGAGUCUAAGCUUGUAAGGGGCUUGGUGCAUGGGAGUUGGAGAACCAUCUCGGUGUUCAUAUUCUGGCAUCGAAAUGAGAACAUGAGUGCAUUUUAUUGUAUCUUUGAGGGGUCCUAGCACUGUGAUAAUGGUGCCUAAUGGAUGACUCAGCCCUGAUCCUUAGUAAACAGCACAGUGCCCAACACAUGAGCAGACAUUCAGGAUGAGGCUGCCUGGAUGAGCCACAAAGACAAUCACAAGUAGGAAGAGGGACUUGAAUUUUAUUAUACACCAAGAAUGCAUGUUCUUCCUCCAAGAGCAGAAAGUUGACCUUUAGAUUAACAUGGAAGAUGGAAAUAAUGAUCAGAAGGCUGGAAAGACACAGAUGGGAAAGAAGUGACAGAGGACAAGUUUAAAGGACUGCACAUAUGCAAGCUUGCAUGCUUGACUAGUUGCAUGUUUGACCUGAAUACUAGACUAAGUUCACGAGCCAUUAACCCUAAAGUUUCACAGAGAACUAAUAUGGAACUUGAAAAGCUGGGAUGUAGUCAUCUGGCCCUUAGCUUAAAAAAAUUAUAGGGUCUCACUAAUUUCUAUUUGUGAUGAUAAAAGGGUAGGGGAGAGACCAUCAGAAAUAUAACUUGCAAACAUUUUUGAGUCUAUGUUUACAUAAAAGAUACAGCUUAUUGGAAGGCUCUUCCCAAUAGUCUAAUGGGUAGCAACUGUGACUGAUAUAAAUAAUGCAUUUAAGGAGCUUGGCAAAUAGCCUGGCAUAUGUAUAACAAGGAGUCAGUAUUUGUUAGCAAGGAUAAUGAUGAUGGAUUUUGCCCUGUAUCAUAUGAAAUUCUUACUAAGAAAUUGGAGAAUUUGGUUUAAACCCCUGUGACUCUUUCUGCUCUUAUCACAGUCUGCCAUAUAAUGUAGUUAUGUAUAUAUGUAUUUUAUUUUCCUCGAGUGGUGUGGAAGAAGCUUUUUUUUUUCAGUUAUGUAUGCCUGGCACUCACACACUUGCUCAUUCUUGUUAUGCUCCAACAACAGACAUGAGGCAAAUGAUGUCAAUCCUAUCAUGUCCACAUUUGGAAGGGAAAGCGGCAUUAGAUAUCUGGUUUUCUUCUAUGAUUAGGAUUUAUCUCAUGGCGGAAAGAUACAACAAUUCAUUUUAAUAAAUAUUUGUUGUGUCUGUUGCAUGCUGGAGACUCCACUAGGCACAAAAAUACAUCAGUAAGUGAGAGGGCUAGUAUUCCCUCUGGGUGUCCCCUUUCUUUGUAGGUACUGUACAUCUACAACAUAUCUGACAAUUUGCUUUCUACCACUUCUAAAACCAUUUCCUUCACUGUCAUACAUCCAAGGCUGUACCUGUGGCCAAUUAUGGAUGCUUUUAUGUUUUGACAUGAUUUAAUUUCCAGGUAACGGUCAUUUCAGUAAAUGGUGCUAGAUCAAUUGGAUAUCCAUCUGCAGAAAACAAUGAAUCCUGACCCCUACCUCACACCAUACACAAAAUGUGAAAUGUAAACAGUAAAGUUCUUAGAAGAAAACGUAUGAGAACAUUUUCAUUCAGCCUCCACAU
rnacentral:lncRNA from 1 species